GAUGAACGCUGGCUACAGGCUUAACACAUGCAAGUCGAGGGGAAACGACGGGGAAGCUUGCUUCCCCGGGCGUCGACCGGCGCACGGGUGAGUAACGCGUAUCCAACCUGCCUCUGACUGAGGGAUAACCCGUCGAAAGUCGGCCUAAUACCUCAUGGUAUCGUCUGCGGGCAUCCAACGACGAUUAAAGAUUUCAUCGGUCAGGGAUGGGGAUGCGUCUGAUUAGCUUGUUGGCGGGGUAACGGCCCACCAAGGCUACGAUCAGUAGGGGUUCUGAGAGGAAGGUCCCCCACAUUGGAACUGAGACACGGUCCAAACUCCUACGGGAGGCAGCAGUGAGGAAGAUUGGUCAAUGGGCGAGAGCCUGAACCAGCCAAGUAGCGUGCAGGAAGACGGCCCUAUGGGUUGUAAACUGCUUUUAGGCGGGGAUAAAGUGAGGGACGUGUCCCUCAUUGCAGGUACCGCAUGAAUAAGGACCGGCUAAUUCCGUG
rnacentral:rRNA from 1 species